UACGUAGGUGGCAAGCGUUGUCCGGAUUUACUGGGCGUAAAGAGCGCGCAGGCGGUCGUCCAAGUCGCGUGUGAAAGCCCCCGGCUCAACUGGGGAGGGUCACGCGAUACUGGUCGACUCGAAGGCAGGAGAGGGUAGUGGAAUUCCCGGUGUAGUGGUGAAAUGCGUAGAUAUCAGGAGGAACACCGGUGGCGAAGGCGGGUCUCUGGGCAGUAACUGACGCUGAGGAGCGAAAGCGUGGGGAGCGAACAGG
rnacentral:rRNA from 1 species